UGGCCGUCGCACCCAUAGCCGUCGCCAUCUCAGAUUCAUUUGGGGUUUCUUACGCAGCAGAGCAGCUCAAGAUUUCUCCACUCCACUUGCUGCUACAUCAACUCUCUGGUCUCGCCACCGAUGCUUAGACCCUUUUUCGGAGGCUUUUGUUUCGGCACAAGCUGUACCAGCUUCGUGAAAACAGGGACAUAAAGCCUGAGACUUUUGCGUCUCUGCUAUUCUUUAUGAGAAAAGGCGGGUUGAGCCACUGAGCUGACGAAGUCCUCCUUCACCUCUUCUUCAUCUGCUGCUUCUAUUUUGGGUAUAGUAUGGGGACAGUGCUGGAAACUGGGCAUCCUUCAAUGAAAUGGAAAUUAUGAACUUGUUUUUUGGAUAGC